UCUAUCUUUCUUUGCAGCUGAGACGUAGUACUUUCAGUUAGAAAAACCAGUCUCCAAACACUUUUUACAGGGUUCACAAAAGCUACGUAGUUGAAGAGAUGUUAAGUUCUAAGCUCAGGAUCAACGAAUUAUGCAAAAAGCUGACAGCAACAUGAGGUGUGGACUGUAAGUGAGGGAUAUCUACAGUGAUACUGCGCCAUGCUAGCUUGGAAUGGCUCUAGAGACAGCUGACGACAUGAAGCCAGCGCCAGCGCCUCGCCUCUCUAUCCCCCCCACAUCGCCUCUUCUUUCUGUCAUUUCUGCUGCACCUGCUGUCCUUCUGGUCUGCACCUUGUCCUACAGCCCCAGACUCAGCAAGUAACAGGCACAAGGAAUGGACUGAAGCAGAGACUUGUGAUCCAUUUUCUACCCAUGUUGGAUAAGCACCAGGCAUGAAAUCAGAGGCCCACUGGCUAAUACAACCACCAGGAGGACAUCAGGAUCACAAUCACAAAACGGGUCCUGUUUUCUGAGUGCUGGUGCCAGGCUGUUCUUUGGUGUUAUUUCUUUUUGAUCCUCUCAAAAGCCUAUGGUGUACACCAAACUACAGCAUUUUUUGGAUACGAAGCCAACAGAGUUCUGGCAAAUGAGAACCAAGGCUGGGACACGGCCCUGGGCGUCUGGCUUCAGGCUGCGCUAUAGAAAGGAGCAGGCUCGCCCUGCAGUCCGUCUGCCGCUCCGCAGAGUUUGGGGGAGUAAACUCGGUGGGCUUGCAUCUGGCAUAAAAAAUAAACAUGAAAAGGCUGGGCAAGAAUCUCAGGGUUCCGAUUUCAGUUCUACUACCAAGUAAGUGUUUAAAGCAGGCAUUUCACUCCAUCUUUCUCAGACUCGGUGUCCCUCUCCAAACUGAAGGUCUCAGGGAACUUCUCAUCCUCAUAAACGUGAGUCUACAGAAAGCACAAUGCAGCCUGACAUGACGAGGCUGUGGCUUUUUGUCCGUCUGUCCCAUCAGCUCCAAAGAGUCCCGAUGGAAGAGGUGAACGUCUCUCAAGAGUGCCUGAGUAGCUUCUCACACAUGGUGACGUGAGAUCAAAAACAGAAAGAAAAAGGAGAAUGCCCAUACAGAAUGCAACACUAAAGAAAAACAACGAAUAACGACUUCUCACAAAGCUUCUUUGUGGCUUCCUGUGUAUGUCUACACAACCACCUCUCCUACCAGCAAGCCAGCUGUGCAAGGGCAAGGCCGGCUGCAGGAUCUGGCACGGGGCUCAGCAGGAUGGAAGGCAGAAACACGGACCCAGGAGAUAAACAGGGCAGGGGUCUGGGAGGGAUUGUCGGUGCGUGAUCACUCCCCGUGAGGUCACAGAUUGAUCUCCAGCCCUCGCGACCGUCACACCUCAGAUGCUCCGCCUACUGGGUGAGCAGAUGAACAAGUGAGUGACACACAGGCUGGUUUGCCCACGGAGCUCAGCCCCAAGCUGACUGGAGCCUCGGCGGCACCUCUUCAGAAAUGGAGGAGAAGACGGGCUUGCUGGUGGACGCCUGGCUGCUUCCCAGUCCGGGGCUGUUAGGAAGCUGCUGCCGUGGGCAGCUGCAUGCAAGCCUUCCUGUGAACACAUCGUUCCCUUCUCUUGUUACGUCACAGACAGAUGAAUGUUCGAUUGUAAAGAAACUGCCAAAUGGUGGCUGUAACAGUGGUAUCAUAGUUAUUUUUUUGUUAAUUUUCGCCCAUCUAAUGGACACAAAGUAGCAGUUCCUCAGCAUGUUAUGCUGUAUUUCCCCCAAAGAAUAAUCAUAUUUGACACCUUUAAUGCCCUCACUGGCCUUUGUGUAUCUUUUUUAAUAAAGCGCUAAAAACUUUUACACA